rnacentral:rRNA from 1 species
UGCCAGCCGCCGCGGUAAGACGAAGGUGGCAACCGUUGUUCGGAAUCACUGGGCAUAAAGCGCACGUAGCCGGAUGUAUAAGUCUUGGGUGAAAUCGAUGCGCUAAACAAAUCGACGUGCUUGAGAUACUGUAUGUCUAGGGACCGGGAGGCGUCAAGGGUAUUCUGGAGGGAGCGGUAAAAUGCUAUAAUCUCCAGAGGACCACCUGUGGCGAAGGCGCUUGACGAGAACGGGUUCGACGGUGAGGAACGAAAGCUAGGGGAGCAAACCGGAUUAGAUA